rfam:Vibrio tubiashii ATCC 19109 chromosome 1, complete sequence.
CUUGCUUGGUGGCGCACUUGGACAAGUUCUUGGUGGGCUAACGUGUACUUCUAAUUCAUAGAAUUCAAGUUUCAAAAGCCCGCUACCAAAGCGGGCUUUUUUGU